GGGGACUGGGCGUGCUGCUCGGUGACGGCCACGCUGCCGGGGGAGCCGUGAGGGAGGCGGGGGCCGUGAGGGGACAGGGCCCGGGCCCGGCGUCCGCCCGGGAGCGGAGCCGGUGACGGGUGUGUGCGGGGGCGAGGGCAGGCCCGGCGGCCGCAGGGCGGGGGCGCGUCCGCGGGCGGCGGGGCGACCUGCGAGCGCGGCGUCUCGCCGUCCGCCCGGUGCCGGCCGCUCCGCCCGCGGGCCGUCGGGCCGGAGUCCGCCGCUCCUGCCGAAGCUGCCGGACGGAAGCCCCGUGGCGACCGGACGGGCGCGGAAAGACGACGGCUGUCGGGGAGCUCCGUCGGCGUAGCCUCGCACAAGAUGCUCUUGUCUUGGCGUGUGUUCUGCUCCCCGCCCCGUGCGCGCUAGGUGCCCGCGGGUUGUAGUGGCGUGAGAGCCGGGGUCUGGUGAUCUUGAGGAGCAGCCUGAACGGCCGAGAUGAAAAGCCCUGCUUCCUUUACCUGAGAUGCGACCCCGGCGGAGGGGAAGAAAUCGUUUCUGUGGGCGUGUUGAGUUCGGCGAGAAACAUGGAAGUGUACUCAGGAGACGAGUACUGGGGAACCGGUCGGGGCGAGCAUGUUUGCAGUGUUCGGGAUGACAGUGAACAUGAAAUUAUUCUCUACAAAAAAUAUUUAAAAUUGGAGUCCUCCACUCAUGCUUGUAAAAUAAAGUUGCUCUCCUUUGGUGAAAAGCAGUGUGUAUUCAUCAGUAAAGUCGUGGUACACCUGAAGCUGGUUUCAGUAAAUUCUUCAACAAACUCUUCUGCUCUGGGAUCAAAGAUAGACCUUGAGAGGGUCCAAACCAUCAUGGAGUCCAUGGGGUCUAAGUUAUCACCUGGAGCUCAGCAAUUGAUGAAUAUGGUUAGAUUUCAGCAGCAGAUCUUCACAAUGUCCCAUGAAUUCACUCACUCAUUCAUUCAGCAGAAUUGUAUUCCCAUUGGAGAUCAGCUUCAGUUGGUUUUGGGAAAUACUGGAUACAAGCGUAUCAUUGACCUACAAUCAUCAUCUACCUCAGGAGCCUGUGGCAAGUCAUCCUCCACACCUUUUCCUUUUAGAACUGGAUCAACAUCUGGAAACAUGACUAAAAACUUGAAAGCUUACAUUACUAAAAGUACACAGCCACCUGGUGGAGGAAAUAUUACAAACCUCAAAGAGUGUAAAAUUGUGCCACAAAACCAUUCUCUUCUUGAGAAUGAUUUUAAGGAUGCAGUAUCUUCUUUCCUAUCAAAGAAAGCAAGUGACAGCUCAAGUAUACCUAACUCUGAGUUGCUGCCUUUUCUCCAGAAUUUAUGUAGUAAAGUUAACCAUCUCCGUGUGGGACCUAACACCAAGUGUCCGGAAAACAUCACCAAGCCCAGUGAAGGCAUUGUUGGUGUUGCAAUGGAAGAACAACCUGUUUGCUCCUACUUGGAGAAGGUUCUUUCUAAAAAUAUGGAACUGAUGGAAAAGAAACUUAUGGACUACAUCGAUCAGCAAAUGUAUAAACUCCAGGAGCACAUAGAUAAUAAGAUUGCCUUGUUAAUGGACUUGCUGCAAAAUCCCAACUCCCCACCCACUGGGAUGCCUCUAAGACAUUAUGACUCUGGAGAAAGACUUUCAAAUGGAGAAAGAUAAGUGCUCAACAUGUACCGUGUACUACAGAUAUUUAUUACAUAUUUAUUACAAAGCCAAAACCCCAGAAAAGUUUAUGAAAAGCAAGUAUUUAAUGUCCUUUGAAGGAUCACCAUUUACUCACAUAAAAUGACCUCUGUGUUCAUUUUCACUGCACUUAUUGUUGAAACCUAGUACUGUACACUAAGAGUUAACAUGACACGGUCAUAAAUUAUUUUAGUUUGCAAUAUUGUUCACUCUUACAGAAAUUUAUGUAUACUUCUGGGUUAAGUGUUUAAAAUUUUUGAGUUUCUAAUGCAAUUCAUUAGUUUGUAUUAUAUGUGUGUUUGAAGUACUGUUUUAAUUUAUACAAAGACUGUUUUAGGGGUAUGAAAAAAAUGCUCAGAGUGUGUGUUUGAUUCUUUUUCUUUUUCUAAUUGAUUGUUCUUGGAAAACUGGGUACUUAAGACUUGCAGCCUUUAAUUUCAGAUCACCAAAUCACAUUUUAUAGCAUUGAUUUUGGAUAAAAAAAUUAGAUGUUAUGUUUGGCAUGUGUAAAAUCAGUUUACAUUGAGGCCGCUAAUUUUAUGUUCUGUCACAUUGUAGCUGGAGAUAGGAAAGUAAAAAUCAGAACUGGCCAAUUCCUUGUUAGGAUUAUUACUUCAGAUUUAGUGUUUGAUGUAAAAUGAGAGAAGUCAUCUUAUUUUAUCUCAGUAAACCCAGAAAGUAUAAGGAACUCCUUUUCUGAGCUGAUACAGGUUCUUUUUUCUAGAGCCCUCUCUGGUUUGUUUAAAGUGUGAGGUGCUGUCGUUCUGCAUUGAAGGAUUAAGGCAUAUGAGUCAAGGAGAGUGCAGUUCUCUCUGGCAGACUUAAUUUUCAGAAAUUAUAACUAUUGUAUAUGUGUUGAAGGGGAAUAUAUUUGCAUCUAAAAAAUAAAUACAUCCACUCUGGAAACUACUUGUCUUAAAUAAAUAGAAAUAUUUUCUUUUCAUCUAAUAUUCAUUUAAGAUAAAAAAGGAUGUUUUAUCCUCAUUAAUAUUUUGGCGAAUUUUGUUCUUUAAAGUGAGAAUUAAUGUAAUGUUUGUUCCUUUAUGAAUCACUCUGACCUCAGUGACAUGAGGACCUGUAUAUGACUUUAUCAGGCUUUUCCUAAUUUAUUCCUAACAUGUAACAUUUCUUUCAGCACUCAGGAGAAAUGUGUCUCACUUAAAGCUGAACGCUUUCUCUAAUACAGCUUCAGAGAGUUGUGGUCUGUUCUUUGAUUCCCAAAUUGCCUCAAUAUAGUUAUAACCAGAACAUGUACGCUAUGUUUUACAAAAUGACUAAAAUAAAUACGGUGUUCAUGAUUAUAGUACUAGAAAUAAUUCAGAUGACCUUUAAUUCCUGAUCUUCCAUUUCUUAAUUUUUCUGUUAAUGAAGACCUAAAUUACAUUUUAUAUACAUUAGAAAUUCAUAGGUAUUGAUUUCCUUAUAUUUAGAAAUUGCUAUACAUAUCUAUGUGAUUAUAUGUAAUUGCUUUAUUAAAAUUAGUAUUUGCUAAGAAAAUAAUGCCUGAAUUUGCUCAAACAGGAGAAGCAGACGACAGUACUUACUAAAUCUCUAUCAAGUGUCUUUUUUUCUUGUAACUUUUCUCCACUUGUAUGUGCCACACCCAAUAAGCCAAGUCUGGGAAAUCAGGGCUAGCAAAUGCACCUUCAGAGGUGUUGAGGUACCCACUGCAGUUUGAAGUAGCUGCAAGAGAUGUGUGGGUGAUCAAGAAAUUAAAUAAGAUACAGGUUAUGAGUUUUAAUUUCCACAUCAUCUCUCCUUUGAGUGUUAUUCCAUCUCCCUCUUUCCCAUGGGUGGCAUAUUAAGGUUUUCAUCCCUCUUUCAUCACUGGAUAUUCAGUCUUUUUAGUGCAGGGCAGAGAGUGAGUUUACAUGCUGCUGCAACAUGACUCAUCUUCAAGUGUGGCUUCAAGGGGCUGGCCCGGUGGCGCAAACGGUUAAGUGCGCGCGCUCUGCUGCGGCGGCCCGGGGUUCGCCAGUUCGGAUCCUGGGCGCGCACCGGUAAAAUGGUUUUGAUUGGCUAAAGCAGAGGCUGCAUGUCAGGUAGUGGCUAGAGGUAAGGCUUGAAAAGGUGCCCUGGGUCUGGCUUGGGAAAACCUUGACUGCUCCACUCUGGAGAUUUGUUAGCACCAAGGAAUCAGUGGUUUAAGCGGGAGAGUGACAUGAUCAUCUCUGGGCCUUGGAAAGAAAACCAGAGUAGAGCUUUCCUCAUGAACCCAUUCACAGAUCUGCUUGGCACCCUGCUUUGGGUUGCAGUGGAAUCUAGGUGCUGUGAAUGCAGAACUAUGUAAAAUCUCAUUGCCUGACAAAUUACAUCAGUGUUUCUCAUCACUUGCUCUCCAGUCUUUGUCAGAAGCACCUGGUGAACUUGUUAAACAUGAAGGUUCUACAGCCCCAAUGCAGAUCUAAUGAUUCAGACCAGAGGGAGGAGUGAUCCCUGAAUAGGCAUUUCAUAACAUCCCAGGGUUGUUAUUAUUAAACAGGCUGAACUUGGAGAGUCUGCCUUGGUCUCUAACACAGUACACCUCAACAUGUAGCCAUCUGAUCAGCCUCAUCCAUUUGCCUCACCUGGGAGCUGGUUAGAAAGGCAUACUCAUGGACUCAACCCCAGAACCCAUGAAUCAGAGUCUGUGGUGGGGCCCAGCAGAGACCCCUUGGUGGAGGUUCCAUCAAGAACUUGAAUGUUUUCACUUUCACAUUUUCCAUCUGGAUCAAGCCUGUGAACAGAACACACCUGCGGCUGGAGAAAAACCACUAGCAAAGGGGUCAGCUGCUCACAUUGGCAUCACAGUUUCCAAAGUGGUGACACAUCUGUUCUCAUCAAAACCUCUCAAACAUCAACAACCACCAUCACCACCACCACCACUGUCCAACCACACAGCAUUCAUUAUCUCUUCACUUUAGAGACAAACAACAGGCUCACGGACCUGAACUGCUUUGCCAAUGACUCUAUCAAAUAAGUGGGGAAGACAGGCCUGGAACCCAGGACUCCUUUCCUUCUCCCUGCUUCCAUCUCUCCUGUUCCCCACACCCAUGUGACUGUUGGGUGUGGAACCUUCCUAUGUGGAAUUGAUCCACUUUGACAUUUGAAAUCCAAGGCUGUAGAAAGGUGAAGCAGCUCCUCUUCCAUGGCCACCUCUCUCAAGGUAAAGCUCUUUGGCAAUUUCCUAGUUGUCCCUUCCUCACAUCACACUUCCUCAUUCUUAAGGACGGUCCCAUGCCCUGCAUUGGACAGGGCAGCCCAGGAUUAUUGUUUUCUACCCAUUCUGAUAUUGUCUCUCCAAAUGCCCUCAGAGAACAUAUUUCCAAGAUGGCUUAGAGGAAAACACACAAGGGUAGACAAACCUGAAUUCUCCUUCCACCUUAAUCACUUGCUGCUGGAUAACUUUAUUUAUUUAUUUUUAUCCCCCCAAAGCCCCAGUAGAUAGUUGUAUGUCAUAGCUGCACAUCCUUCUAGCUGCUGUAUGUGGGACGCGGCCUCAGCAUGGCCGGAGAAGCAGUGCGUCGGUGCGCGCCCAGGAUCCGAACCCCGGGCCGCCAGCAGUGGAGUGCGCACACCCAACCGCCAAGCCACGAGGCCGGCCCUGUUGGAUAACUUUAGACGAAUGAUUUUACCUUUCUUGACCUCAGCUUUCUCUUCUGUAAAAUGGGAUAUCUCACAGCCUACUUCAUUCUCUUAUAUGAAGUUUAUAGUAUUUUGAAGAUGAUGCCCACAGCACAGGUUUGGUAUAUUAAGAUGUCCAGUAAAUGUUAAAUUUUUCUCCCCCUCUUUCUACUGUUCUGUUCUCUAUCUUCUUAAAAAGCAAGAAUAACAUACAUGUUUCUUAAUAUUACUACUAUUCGAGUAAAUUUGAAAGUCGCUCUUCUAUAUCCUAUCUUAAGUGCUAAAGGGAAGUCACAUUCAAAGUCAGUUAUACUGAGCAGUGGUUCUCGAGUCUGUUUCAGGAAGCAGCAACAGCAGCACUACCUGGGAACCUAUUUGAAAUGCCAGUUCUCAGGCCCCACCUCAGACAUACUGAAUCAGAAUCUCGGGGAGUGGGGCCAGCCGUCGUGUUUCAUGAAGCACUCCAGCUCACGUGGGUGCAUACUCAGUGUCAGAACCGCUAGUCUAUGUUUAAAAGCACAGGCUCUGCAGCCAGAUUGCAUGGGUUCCCUCCCAAAACCACAAUUGACACCCUCCAAAGGCAUUCUAGAAAAAAAACUAGACGCCCACAAGACUGUGUCUUUCGCUAAUUUUUCCAACUUGUCUCCUGCUGCCACUCUCCCCUUCAUGCUUCCCACUCCAGCCACAAUGGCCCUUUUAUUGUUCCUUGAACACACCAAACCCAUUGCAGCUUCAGGAUUCUAUAGUUAAUAUUUUCUUGCCUGGAAUAUACCUCCUCAUUUUGCUUCCUGCCUUUUUCCAGGCCUCUGCUGAAAUGUCACCUCAGAAAGGCCUUCCCUGACCAUCCCAGAUAAAUACUCCUCCCAUCCCCAUCACUUUUGUCAGCUAUUUUCACUUUGUUUUUCCUUUAACUUUUCUUUUGUUAUAGCUUCCCUCUCUUUGCUGGAAUUUUUAUAUUUUCAUUGUUUCAAGAAGAUGUGUUAUUAAUUGUUGAAGACUUUUUAUAAUGGCUCCUUUAAGUCCUUUUUGGAUAAUUCCAACAUUUGAUAUAUCUUCUUGUUGGCAUCAAUUCGUGGUCUUUUGUCAUUCAGGUGUUACUUCUCUGGUUCUUGGUCUAGCACAUGACUUUCCAUUGAAUCCUGGAUAUUUUGGCUAUAAUUAUGUUAGGAGACUCUAGGAGGUCCUAUUUAAAUCUUUUAUUUUAUUAAGUAGUCACCCUGCUUAGGUUUAGCAUGCAGGUCCUGGCCUACUUUUGUGGAAUGAGGUUCCAAUGGCAAUUUAAUAGUCAGGGACUUUGCAGUGCUAUUUUGAUCUGCUUAGUUUCUCUGGUGUCACUCGGGCUCCCAGGUCCCUGACAGUGCUGCCUGAAGGAGCAGAAGGAGAUUCCCCAGGCUAGAGCCACCUGGUGCAUCUAGGUGGGAGAAGGGAAUCUCUGGCCCAUGGGGACAAAGAUGCUUGUUAUGGUGGGAUCCCCUUUGAGCUGCCAACUGGCCACCCUGCUGUCUCUCAGUGGAGGAGAGGAGUCUCAGAAACAGUGAGGGAACAAUGCACUUCCCCUGGCCACUUAUUGUCAGUGGGGCUCCCACACCGUCCACCAUGCCUCUAUUGCUGGGCUGGCCUGGGCUUGUCAGCAGGACCCACAUUAAAUCAAGGGGGGAUGAUCCCACUGGAGCCACCUUCUGAUGCUAUAUUCAGAGUUGGAAAACACCACCCUUGGGCCACCUCCUUCUGUCCUGCUGCUGUGUUGCUCAUCUACGCCUGGGUCCCUAACUAGUUUGCUUUCCUCUUUCCAACUUUUAGAGUUCUCCUUUGUUUGACUCUUGUGUUUUUUACAGGGGUUACAAUUAUGCUUCACAGGGAGGAGCAGGGAGAAACAAAUCUAAGCCAUCUUGUCUGCACCUGGAGUCUCCUCAUGUAAUAUUACUAGAUUGGCUGAGUAUAAGUACCUUAAAAUCACACACACCUGACUAGAACAAGUACCCUAGUCAAUUUUCAUUUAUGUAACCCUUAACUAUAAAGUAUAAAAAUCUUCCAAUGUCAAUGAGCAUAUGCUUGAAUCCUAGUAAAUGACUCCAUAUUAUUUUGUUGUGUAGCUAAAGCAUAAAGUCUAACCAUUCUUCUAUAAUUGAACUUUUAAGUAUAAGGGUAUUUUAGCCUCCCCACAUUACUGUCUUUUUCUUUUAUUUUUGAAAUUGAAAUCUUAAACCUGCUUUUGAUUAGCAGUCAAAUCCUGAAAAUUAAUAUGAGGGAAAGAAGACUUAAAAAGGUAAAGACUUAGAAUUAAGUGAUUCAAAAUAGUAUUUCUACCUCAUAGGGGCUAAAAUGUACCUACACAUGGAACAGAAUUCAGAACUCCAUGAAAGGUUGCUGGUGUCCAGAGUGUUGAUGUCACAUGCCUGUGGCAUAGAAGUUGGACCUGGGCAGUGGCCGUGCUUCUAAGGUGGCCUUCAUAUGGAUCUGGGUGGUUUAACUUCAGU